UCUUGAGGAUGAGGAUCUGCUGCCAAAGCAAAGUGGAGUUUUGCCUUUGGCCAGCCUGGAAGGUGGGGUGUACCUGUUUACAAGACCCUCCUUGCCAGUGUCAGGGAUCUCCAGCCUUUGUUUGAAGCGACUCUGGAGCAUGCUGAGCGUGUGGCCAUCUGCGUAAAGGGACUGGCAGGACCCGGGUGCUGUCAGCGUUCUGAGACACCUCGCCUCCUAGAUGGUGCGGGGAGAGGAGAGAGAGUUAUGAAAGGAUGCAUGCCGCACUGUCAAUGACAAUUCGACAAGGAAACUAAGGUAAGCCAAGCAGUCCCUUUGCUGGAGCUCUGAGGAAGUGGAUCUGUACCGCAAACAAAGGUGUGUUCCAUACCUGGGUCUCCACCAAGCAAGGGCUUGUCCCCUGUGCUGCCACAGGUGCUCAGGAACCUGGGGGACAGGGGUUGCCAUCCUAGGACACCAUCAUAUCAGCACAGGACUUCCAGGGGCCACCUGAGCAGGGGAAAGAGGAGCUCCUAGAAUUCACAGCUGUCUGCCCCACACCUGAAGCAUCACAUCCUUUACUUCUGUCCCCAGGCCUGUGGCCAGAGCCAUAGCAUGGUCCUGUGU